UACGUAGGGUGCGAGCGUUGUCCGGAAUUAUUGGGCGUAAAGAGUUCGUAGGCGGUGUGUCACGUCGUUCGUGAAAACCUGCAGCUUAACUGUGGGCGUGCGGUCGAUACGGGCAUCACUGGAGUUCGGCAGGGGAGACUGGAAUUCCUGGUGUAGCGGUGAAAUGCGCAGAUAUCAGGAGGAACACCGGUGGCGAAGGCGGCAUCCUGGACCGAUAUUGACGCUGAUGCGCGAAAGCCAGGGGAGCAAACGGG
rnacentral:rRNA from 1 species